UCUGCGCGCACCUCGCUCCGCACCGCUACAAGGGUAAGUAAGAAAGCAGCAAGAGAGCAUCUCCCAGCCACCAGGUCCAUGUCCUUCCUCUGCUCAGUAGCAAUGAGCAGAGCUGUGAAUUUCUGUACCUUCAAAGUUAUUUCAUUUACAGCACCCUGGGACCACGAUGGCAGAGAAGAGACAAACAACUGAACUUAAUAGCAGCUGGGUUGAGGCUUUUAUAGGAUUAUAGGUUCUUGUUCCAGUUUGUCAUCAACAAGUCCAGACACUGGGCAUCCGUACAUCCCUGCACACGGCUGACUGCAGCAGAGAUCCCACUGGAGGCUCAGGACAUGAGAUGGCAUGUGGAGAACCUCCUGACUGAUGAAGGCUUUUAAAAGCUCAAACAUGGUCAUUAGCUGCAUCCUUACAAAAGGACAAACAUCAUUCCAGCUGCUUUGAAGAAAGCUGGGUUACGAUAUUCUGAUAGAUCAAAGCAGCAGUUUAAAACUAGUUAUAAUUAAUAAUCUUGACAGCCUUCGAAAUGGCUGCCAUUUUGUCUUCACCAAGCUGAAAGAGAACUGUUCAAU